rnacentral:rRNA from 1 species
AUGUGCCUGAGAUGGGAUCUGGAGAACGAAAGCUUUGGAGCGUCGGGGCACGACUGGGGCCGAAGCCUUUUGGAGCUUCCAUGGCUAGGGAGUAGGGACAACGUCCAAAUGUCCCAUGCGCCGUGCCUGUGGCUGUGGUUGGAAGCAUACACACACAGAUGUACGGCAAUCAGGUCUCCAUCAGGAUGUCGCCAGAUAAUGUUCCCUUCCAGUUCACCUGCUGUUCCUCGGCACUUCAGAUGUCAGCGGUGUUCGUCGGCACUCCGGAUUCUCUCUCUGGAUGAUUUGUUUGGUAUUUCAUGGGAUUUGGUGAAUCCCUUCUUUUCACCAACCCCUUCAAUUCCCGUCACAUCUUAA